rnacentral:lncRNA from 10 species
UUUGGAUGAAGAGAAGUGGUUGGAAGGAGGGAAGUGGAGCAUCAUGAAUGGCUGGACAAAUGAACACAGCACCUGCCAUGUGCCAGCCCUCAGAUUGCUGCAGAGGGCACCUGAAGCAUGAUUUUGCCUUACCUUAAAAUGUCACCUGUAACAGAUCUACGAGUCCUCUGCCUUAUCCUCUCGGUCCCAGGCCCACAAAGACUCUCCAUAGCCCCUGCUGCGAGGGCUGCCUCGAGGUGCACACUCAUGGCCAAGGACUGACAGUUAUGAGGGCAUAAACCCUGCAGCUUUCCUGCCCCCUGAUCAGACACCUGUGGGCAUAAGCCUCACUGUCCAGAGCUCCCCGUGGGAUUGAGUGGGCAUAACCCUGCCUGGGUCUUUGUUGAUAUUGCAGCUGGUUGGGCUUUCAUCCCUCCUCACUCCCCAACAGUGGGGUUUUCUUGUCAAUGCUCUCUAAGAAACUCCUUUGAGAUGUCGCCUCAGGGUCCACUUCUGAGGAAACCCAGACUAAGACAGUGCUAUUUUGAUUCCUCAUAAAUAUUUUCAAUCCUCCAAUUUUGAUUCAUGAAACUCAGAAAAUGAAUCUUAAGUAAAUGUCUGCUAUU